rnacentral:rRNA from 1 species
GAGUUUGAUCUUGGCUCAGGACGAACGCUGGCGGCGUGCCUAACACAUGCAAGUCGAGCGAGUGGAUCUCCUUCGGGAGUGAAGCUAGCGGCGGACGGGUGAGUAACACGUGGGCAACCUGCCUCGUAGAGGGGAAUAGCCUUUCGAAAGGAAGAUUAAUACCGCAUAAGAUUGUAGCUUCGCAUGAAGUAGCAAUUAAAGGAGCAAUCCGCUAUGAGAUGGGCCCGCGGCGCAUUAGCUAGUUGGUGAGGUAACGGCUCACCAAGGCGACGAUGCGUAGCCGACCUGAGAGGGUGAUCGGCCACAUUGGGACUGAGACACGGCCCAGACUCCUACGGGAGGCAGCAGUGGGGAAUAUUGCACAAUGGGGGAAACCCUGAUGCAGCAACGCCGCGUGAGUGAUGACGGCCUCGGUUGUAAG